rnacentral:rRNA from 1 species
CACGUAGGGCGCAAGCGUUUGUCCGGAAUUAUUGGGCGUAAAGAGCUCGUAGGCGGUCUGUUGCGUCCGCUGUGAAAACUCGGGGCUUAACCCCGAGCCUGCAGUGGAUACGGGCAGACUAGAGGUAGGUAGGGGGAGAAUGGAAUUCCCGGUGUAGCGGUGAAAUGCGCAGAUAUCGGGAGGAACACCGGUGGCGAAGGCGGUUCUCUGGGCCUUACCUGACGCUGAGACGCGAAAGCGUGGGGAGCGAACAGG